rnacentral:rRNA from 1 species
GACGAACGCUGGCGGCGUGCUUAACACAUGCAAGUCGAACGAAGAGCGAUGGAAGCUUGCUUCUAUCAAUCUUAGUGGCGAACGGGUGAGUAACGCGUAAUCAACCUGCCCUUCAGAGGGGGACAACAGUUGGAAACGACUGCUAAUACCGCAUACGAUCUAAUCUCGGCAUCGAGGAUAGAUGAAAGGUGGCCUCUACAUGUAAGCUAUCACUGAAGGAGGGGAUUGCGUCUGAUUAGCUAGUUGGAGGGGUAACGGCCCACCAAGGCGAUGAUCAGUAGCCGGUCUGAGAGGAUGAACGGCCACAUUGGGACUGAGACACGGCCCAGACUCCUACGGGAGGCAGCAGUGGGGAAUCUUCCGCAAUGGACGAAAGUCUGACGGAGCAACGCCGCGUGAGUGAUGACGGCCUUCGGGUUGUAAAGCUCUGUUAAUCGGGACGAAAGGCCUUCUUGCGAAUAGUGAGAAG